rnacentral:rRNA from 1 species
GCCCACCUCAAGAUAAGAUUUCCUCCGAAAGGUAAGACCCGUGAGAGACUAUCACGUUGAUAGGUCAGAGGUGUAAGUACGGUAACGUAUUCAGCUGACUGAUACUAAUAGGUCGAACACUUGACCAAAU